rnacentral:rRNA from 1 species
AGCGAACGCUGGCGGCAGGCCUAACACAUGCAAGUCGAACGAAGUCUUCGGACUUAGUGGCGGACGGGUGAGUAACACGUGGGAACGUACCUUUUGGUUCGGAACAACUCAGGGAAACUUGAGCUAAUACCGGAUGAGCCCUUAGGGGGAAAGAUUUAUCGCCGAAAGAGCGGCCCGCGUUAGAUUAGCUAGUUGGUGAGGUAAAGGCUCACCAAGGCUACGAUCUAUAGGUGGUCUGAGAGGAUGAUCAGCCACACUGGGACUGAGACACAGCCCAGACUCCUACGGGAGGCAGCAGUGGGGAAUCUUGCGCAAUGGGCGAAAGCCUGACGCAGCCAUGCCGCGUGAAUGAUGAAGGUCUUAGGAUUGUAAAAUUCUUUUACCAGGGACGAUAAUGACGGUACCUGGAGAAAAAGCCCCGGCUAACUUCGUGCCAGCCGCCGCAGUAAAAC